ACAGCCCGCGAGGAAGCCCGUCGGGGCCGGCGGGGCUGAUGGAAGGCCUGAGGAAUUCGCAGCUGGCGGCGCGGCCGGGCGCGUUCCCUUCCCCUCUCUCCGUUGCCCGGCGAGGGAGCCACAGCGCAGCGGUUGCCAUGGCCACGGGCCGGGCGUGGGGCUGGGGGACCAGGGGCCGCUGAGCCUCGAUCACCUUGUCCUGCUCGAGCCAGGUUGGCAUGAACUGGAAGAACCCCGCUGCGGUGGGCGGGAGGUGCUAGGGCCAGGGGAAGCACCGAGGGACCCCGCCGCCCGGCCUGCGCCCUGAGGCCGCAGGGUUCUGUGGAAAUGCCGUGUCUGCCUCCCCACCUCCUGCGCUCACACAUGCAGGCCUGGGGCCUGCGGGUCCCGGGGCUCUGAGCCUCCGCAGCCCACUGGCCGCAGCCGCAGGCCCCGCACUGUUGGACUAGGUGGACACGGAGGCUGAGGGGGAGUUUCCAAGGGGCCUGGCCUCACGCUCUGCCCGUCACAGCCGCCACCCCUCACCGGCCCUCCACCCACCCCAACCUCCUUAACCUCUCCCGGCCUCGGUUUCCUCACCUAUUAACUAGGGAUUAGUCAUAGCUACCAUCCAGGCUUGUUGUAUUAAAAUAGAAUAAUUAUGUAAUGUGCCGUGUGCGCUCCAAACGUGGUCCUCUUUCCCUGUCCCACACCUCCUUCCUCCUGCAUCAGGCCUGGGGAGGGGAGCGUGCCCAUGUCACCCCCAGCCCCCAGGCCUAGAGUCCUGGACACAUGGACGCCCCUGCCAGAGCUCCCCUCCCCGCGCUUGGGGUUACCUUGAACCCCGCCUCCUACAAGAGGAUGGUCCGGCCUAUUGUCGGAACCUGCAGGAAUCCCAGGCUGCGACCCAAGAAUAUUAGCGGAGGCCCAGCCUGGCUGGGGCUCUGCAAGUCAGACCUGGGUGCCCCAGAGAGCUGCUCUGGGAAAGACGUUUACCUGCUGCCCAGAGCUGGGACUGCAGACCCUGAUUGGCAAGGGCUUGGAGAGUAGCUGAGAACCUUCCCUUCAGCUACUGAAGACCAGACAGGGCUUUCUGUAUCACGCUGCCUGACGAUGAUGAGGGUGCAGUGACUAAGAGCGCAGAUGAAAGGCCCAGCUCUCCAACCAGGUGGAUGGAUUUGAAAGGAGCUUCUAGCUGGGCAUGGUGGCUCACGCCUGUAAUCCCAGCACUUUGGGAGGCUGAGGCGGGCGGACUACCUGAGGUUGGGAGUUGAAGACCAGCCUGACCAACAUGGAGAAACCCCAUCUCUACUAAAAAUACAAGAUUAGCCGGGCAUGGUGGCGGGCACCUGUAAUCCCAGCUACUCGGGAGGCUGAGGCAGGAGAAUCGCUUGAACCCAGGAGGUGGAGGUUGCAGUGAGCCAAGAUCAUGCCACUGCACUCCAGCCUGGGCAACAAGAGUGAAACUCCGUCUCAAAAAACAAAAAAAAGAAAGGAGCUUCUGAGAGAUGGGGUCUCCACCUCCCCAUCAGAUACUCCAGGGCUUUGGAAAGAGCUGGCUGGCUGUUGGGCAUCACCUCAACUUUUCCCUAGGUGAUGCUGCCAAGGAACUGUGGCACUGUCCCUACUUCCCACGUCCAGCUCCACGGUUCCACCUCCCACCCCCCUUGCCUGUGGAAGCUCAAAAUAAGCUUUCUAGAGGAUGAUGUUUCUUGUGUGAGGGGUCAUCUGAGGUUGUAAAGACUGAAGGUCUUCACCAGAGAAACGCAGGAAGCAUCCCGCAGCUAAGUGAGGCAAUGUCUGGGGCACGCCAGGCCACGCCAGGUAGCUCAGAGGGAAGGAACGGCCCUGGCUACACAGCCUGCCUCUGAGCCCUGCUGGUGGCCAGGCCAUCUGCUGGGCUCCAUCCCUGGGCGUCUUUCCAGCCUGUCUUCAGUGCUCAGGGCGUCUUUAGCAGAGCAUAAAGUGGCAUUUCACUUGUCCCUCCACCCAACAGCAAGGAAGUGGACCUCUCUUAGGCUUUUCUUGCAAGACGAAAGGAAAGAAAGAAUGUUCUCAAUGUGAGAUCCUACAGGACCACUGUACUGGGUCGAAUAGCGUCCCCCCCACCAAAUUCAUGUCUGCGUAGAACCUAUAAAUGUGACUUUAUUUGGAAAGAGGGUCUUUGCAGAUGUAAUUAAGAUGUACUUCACAGGCCUGGGGAGAUCAAGGCCAACAGCAUGCUGUAUUAGGAUGGCUCCAGUCCAAUGACUGAUGCCCUUAUAUGAGGGAAAUCUGGACACAGACACAGAGGAGGCCACACACACAGAGGAGGUCUGGUGGUGGAGGCAGAGACGGGAGAGAUGUGUCUACAAACCAAUGAGCGAGCAGGACCGCCGGCCACCACCAGAAGCUGGCAGGGGCAAGGAAGUCAUUCUUCCGUGGGGGCUUCAGAGGGGGCACAGUCCCAGUACACCUUGAAUGUUGGCCUUCUGGCCUCCAGAGCUGCAAGAGAAUCCAUUUCGGUUGUUUGAAGCCACUGAGUUUGUGGCGUUUUGUUAUGGCUGUCCUAGGAAACGAAUGCAAUCACCAAAUGUCAAACACAGGGCAGCUGGGAAAAACAAGAAGGAAAUGCAUGAGGCAUGUAAAGAAAAGACCUGGAAGAGACCAAGGAGGGACAGGAAGGAACGCUUCCUCAACUUCCUCCUGCACCCGGACAGGAAGCCGGAGACCUAGUGGCUGAGCCUUGGAAGAAGCGGCUACUUUUUCCCCCCACAAGAGCGGGUGAGCUUGGAUGUCAGACCAAUGAGAAGUGUCUGAAUCUUGCUGGGUCCCAGGGAGACCCUGUUAAUAAUAAUAAACUCACGAUAUGCUCUUGUCUCAUCCUCA